AUUGAAAGCUGGCGGCAGGCCUAACACAUGCAAGGCGAGCGAGCUGCUUACUGGUUCUUAAUGUAUGGGGACUGCCCGAUCGAGGUGGAUAACUACUGGCAACGGUAGCUAAUACCGCAUACUAUCGGAUAACCCAUAUGGGAUUAGCUAGUAGGUGAGGUAAUGGCUCACCUAGGCAACGAUCCGUAGCUGGUUUGAGAGGAUGACCAGCCACACUGGGACUGAGACACGGCCCAGACUCCUACGGAGGCAGCAGUGGUGAAUUUUGGACACGGGGAGCAACCAUGACUAAGCCAUGCCGCGCGUAUGCAGCAGGCCAUGGGGUUGUAAAGCACUGUGUUUAGGGAGGUGUUAUCCGCAGAAGAAGCACCGGCUAACUCAGUGCAAGCAGCCGCGGUAAUUC
rnacentral:rRNA from 1 species